rnacentral:rRNA from 1 species
GUCGAGAGGGUUCGGCCCUCGGCGUACUGCUCAGUAACACGUGGAUAACCUGCCCUAAGGAAGGGGAUAACCCCGGGAAACUGGGGAUAAUACCCUAUAGGUUACAGAUGCUGGAAUGCUCUGUAACCGAAAGUUCCGGCGCCUUAGGAUGGAUCUGCGGCCGAUUAGGUUGUUGUCGGGGUAACGGCCCAACAAGCCAGUAAUCGGUACGGGUUGUGGGAGCAAGAGCCCGGAGUUGGAUUCUGAGACACGAAUCCAGGCCCUACGGGGCGCAGCAGGCGCGAAAACUUUACAAUGCGGGCAACCGUGAUAAGGGAACCUCGAGUGCCUGUAUAUGCAGGCUGUCUGGGUGUCUAAAACACACCUAAAGAAAGGGCCGGGCAAGACCGGUGCCAGCCGCCGCGGUAAUACCGGCGGCUCGAGUGGUGGCCACUUUUAUUGGGCUUAAAGCGUUCGUAGCUGGGUUGUUAAGUCCCUUGGGAAAUCCGACAGCUUAACUGUCGGGCGUCUAAGGGAUACUGGCAAUCUUGGAACCGGGAGAGGUGAGGGGUACUUCGGGGGUAGGAGUGAAAUCCUGUAAUCCUCGAGGGACCACCUGUGGCGAAGGCGCCUCACCAGAACGGCUUCGACAGUGAGGGACGAAAGCUGGGGGAGCAAACCGGAUUAGAUACCCGGGUAGUCCCAGCCGUAAACGAUGUGCGUUAGGUGUAUCGGUGACCACGAGUCACCGAGGUGCCGAAGGGAAACCGUGAAACGUACCGCCUGGGAAGUACGGUCGCAAGGCUGAAACUUAAAGGAAUUGGCGGGAAGGGCGAAUUCGUUAAACC